rnacentral:lncRNA from 1 species
UAAGAGAGCUUGUAGAUUUGAAUUAGGAUCUGUUUCUUUUUUCUAAUUUAAUCAAACCACUCUAGCGAGUGGUUUGGUGUUUAUCCUGGAAGGUCAACAGGAAAAGCAAGAAGAGCCAGCAGGGCAAAAUUAGAUUCUAUGUUGACUUUCUGUAUUUCCAUGGACUUAUACACAAUUAUAAGUCUUUAAAGGACUAAAAUAUAAAAGUUCCAUAUUUCAUAUUUUGUCCUGAAAGGACAAUGGUAUAGAUAUUGUUCCAAUAGCUGUCUUACCCCCUCAAUCAAUUACAGGGACUUAUUUGUAAUUAACAAUCUUUCACUCACUGGAAUAUAAAAUCAUACUUUUAAGCUGCUUCAGUCUUCACUGCCUCUUUUUCCUCUUUAUAAAGAGGUUAUUGCCUCAAAUUACAUGCAAAAAUUAAGUAGA